UUUGACAUUGACUCAUCAAUUGGGUCAGGAAGAAAUGGUAAAUUCAAUGAAAAUAAAGCAGGUGAAUGUUUUAAUUAGCUUAUUUUGUUUGGACAUAUAAAAUAAGUUAAUCCAAAUUAAAACUAAAUUAGUGUUUAUGAAUUGUGUUAAAAGACAAAACACUGUCCAUGAAUUCACGACAACUUUAGGUGUUCAAGUGUUGCUUAUAAAAUCAAAGAGGGAAAAUAAUGAAAAUAGAUUAGCAAUAUUUUCACGAUGGAGAAACUGUAAGCCAUACUAAUUUAUCAUUUCUUCCAACAUAAGUAAAAUAUUACCUUAAUUUUAUCUAAUAUUUUAUCAUUAUUCUUUUAUUCAGAACAGUACUUGACAGCAAAAAGAAUCACUUAUUUGCUGCCAGUAGAUAGUAGAUACACCAUUAAGCAACAUUUAACACUUAGGAUAUGGGACUCCACAAGUCGAAGCAACCUUUUUAGCGUUAGGACUGUUGACAUACUGUUUAAGAGAUGGGUUCUUAAGGUAUCCACAGAGGCAUGGCUGCUGCGCCUUCAGCUUGCUGCAACAAGCGCUUGAUGGAGGCGAGGACGACGUAAGCGCCGGCGAGCAGGGGGCAAGCUCCACGGGAUUACAUGUCACUGCCUCCGCCGUGCGACUUUCACCCGAAAACAGCACCACCGCGAGUGCCACCACACACAAGGCAACAAAGGAAACCCUCUUCAUAAUUGUUUCCCCC
rnacentral:lncRNA from 1 species